ACCCCCGUGGCCGAGGGGUUAAGGUGUGGCCCCCCUGUAGCCUGGGGGCGUGGGUUCGAAUCCCACCUCGGGUG
rnacentral:tRNA from 1 species